AGCGGCGCGGCCGGAGCAGCACGCCGGGGAGCGCAGCGGAGCGGCCGGGCCGCCCUGCCGAGGUGGGAGCAGCAGGAGCUCACCAUGGCCCUGGCAGACCCCGUGAGCUGUGCCAAAGGCAGUGAGGACAGCAACCCCUUCCCUGACAUCAUCGAGCUGAAUGUGGGGGGACAGGUGUACAUCACCCGGCACCCCACGCUGGUCAGCGUGCCUGGCUCACUGCUCUGGGAGAUGUUCACCCAGAAGAACGCCCGCUCGCUGGCCCGUGACAGCAAGGGCCGCUUCUUCGUGGACCGGGACGGGUUCCUGUUCCGCUACAUCCUGGAUUACAUGAGGGACCAGCAGCUGGUGCUGCCCGAGCACUUCCCAGAGCGCGGCCGGCUGCAGCGCGAGGCCGAGUACUUCAUGCUGCCGGAGCUGGUGAAGCUGCUGGUGCCCAAGCUCAGCGAGCAGAACUCCCUGGGGGAUGAUCCCUGCCAGAGCGACCCCGAGGAACUGUCCCCCGGCGCGGACACCGCGCGCGGCCUGAGCUCGGCCGCCACCGCACUGCCCAGAGCCGUGUCCGGUGCUGCCGGCUCCGAGGGCCGCAGGGCAGGGUUCAUCACCAUCGGCUACCGUGGCUCCUACACGCUGGGCAGGGACAGCCAGACGGAUGCCAAGUUCCGCAGGGUGGCCCGGAUCAUGGUGUGCGGCAAGACCUCGCUGGCCAAGGAGGUCUUUGGGGACACCUUGAACGAGAGCAGGGACCCCGACAGGCCCCCGGAGAGGUACACGUCCAGGUACUACCUCAAAUUCACCUUCCUGGAGCAAGCCUUUGACAAAUUGGCCGAUGCCGGCUUCCACAUGGUGGCCUGCAACUCCACGGGCACCUGUGCCUUUGCCCACGAGCAGACGGACGACAGGAUCUGGACCUCUUACACCGAAUAUGUUUUCUAUCGUGAGUGACACACAACCAAACCUCCGCCAACCAACCACUGACCAUCCCUUUCCCAUCCCUUGCUGGCUGUGGCCUAGAAGGUAGAGAUCCAUCCCUGAAUCCUGGUGUCCUCCCUCUGCCUCCUUUUCAGUUGGUUCUUGGGUUUUUUCCUUCCUCGUUGCUCCAAGUUGAAUCCUGCCCAGCUCUUCCUUGUAGCAGCUGCUGACCACCAACCUUCCUCCCUCUCUGUGACUUCUGCAGUCACUCCCAACCCUCUCUGGAUACGUGGACUCGGACACUGCUGUGGACGUGGGUUGGGUGGGACACACUGGACACUGCAUUGGGCUGGCAUUCCUGCAGCUGGAUGGGCUUGGACACUGGACUGGGCUCUCUGUCCCAUGCAGCUCCACGGGAUCCUGCUGCACACACUGGGACCUGCCAAGGGGGUUCGGAGGGGAAUCGUUGGGAUAAAGACAUGGGAAAGGUCCUGUUGUGCGAGGCCAGCUCUCCAGGCAGCUCUCCAGGCACUGCAGCCUUCCAGGAAGCUCCUGGCUCAGCCUUCCCGUUCCUGAGCCUUCAGAACCAGAGCAGAGCCCCAAAAAACCCAUGUCCUCCUCCGAGCCCAUCCUGGACCUCAAGGGAGACACGGCAGAAGCACUUCCAGAGAGCCUGGGAGGAACAGGGGAGCAGAGCUCCUGCCCACCAUGGGACACUCCAGGGAGUGGACAACCCCUGGAACACACGGAACUGACGCCAGCAGCCCUCGAGGAUGCUGCAGAGCCGAGGCAGAGCCCUGGGACAAGGCAGGAGCUGGCUGACCCCAGGAAUGCUGCCCGACCCCCCGGCCCCGAGGAGCCCAUCCCCGGUAGGGAUGCUCAGCCAGCGGUGAAGGACCCCAGCCCCACCAACUCCCCGCCGUGGCCAGAAGCUCCUGAGGAAUGCCCAGCCCGGCCCAGCACCCUGGACUUGUGCAGCUCCCUGAGGAAGCAGCAGUGGGGCACUGACCAGGCAGCGGUCAAGGAGAACGGUGUGGAGGCCACUCCGGCAACAGGCACGGCCACGGCCAGCAGCGAGGAGCGCCGGGCCCUGCAGUCAGAGCUGGGCAAGUGCAUAGAGGAAUUCCGCAGGAUCCGGAUCCCGGCCGCCUUUCCCAACAAAAAGCGGCAGUGGCAGAGCGAGCUGCUGAGGAAGUACCAGCUCUGAGAGCAGAUCCCAGCUCCCACUCCAGGGAAGGAGCUCUCCAGGCUGGGGGGGGCUGUUCCAGCAGUGGCAUGGGUUGUCCACGCUCCCCAAACGAGGAGCAGAGGUGGUUCGUGAAGCCCACGCAGAUGUUGGAAGGUUCACAAGUCUGUCCCCACCAUGGUCAUGGAGGGGAUGUUCCACAUCCUCAGUGGCACAGGCACAGCUGGAGCAGGUAGGACAAGGAAGGAUGUCCAGGGUGUUGUUCAGGACCAGCAGAAAUCCCCACAUUUCUGAAUUUCCCUGACAUUUCAAACAAUAAAA